CAGUCGCCACGGUAAUACGUAGGGGGCAAGCGUUAUCCGGAAUUACUGGGUGUAAAGGGAGCGUAGACGGUUAAACAAGUCUGAAGUGAAAUGCCGGGGCUCAACCCCGGAGCUGCUUUGGGAACUGUAGAACUGGAGUGUCGGAGGGGUAAGCGGAAUUCCCAGUGUAGCGGUGAAAUGCGUAGAUAUUGGGAGGAACACCGGCGGCGAAGGCGGCUUACUGGACGACAACUGACGUUGAGGCUCGAAGGCGUGGGUAGCAAACAGGAUUAGAUACCCGUGUAGUCCCUGUCUCUUAUAC
rnacentral:rRNA from 1 species